GACGAACGCUGGCGGCGUGCCUAAUACAUGCAAGUAGAACGCACAGUUUAUACCGUAGCUUGCUACACCAUAAACUGUGAGUUGCGAACGGGCGAGUAACGCGUAGGUAACCUGCCUGGUAGCGGGGGAUAACUAUUGGAAACGAUAGCUAAUACCGCAUAAUAUUGAUUAUUGCAUGAUAAUUGAUUGAAAGAUGCUAUUGCAUCACUACCAGAUGGACCUGCGUUGUAUUAGCUAGUAGGUGAGGUAACGGCUCACCUAGGCGACGAUACAUAGCCGACCUGAGAGGGUGAUCGGCCACACUGGGACUGAGACACGGCCCAGACUCCUACGGGAGGCAGCAGUAGGGAAUCUUCGGCAAUGGACGAAAGUCUGACCGAGCAACGCCGCGUGAGUGAAGAAGGUUUUCGGAUCGUAAAGCUCUGUUGUAAGAGAAGAACGGGUGUGAGAGUGGAAAGUUCACACUGUGACGGUAUCUUACCAGAAAGGGACGGCUAACUACGU
rnacentral:rRNA from 1 species